UUAUUUUAAGUUAAUAGUGUACUGGUUAUAACUAAUAUCAAAUCUUUACUAAUACUUGAUUUCUUUUUAUGAUGGUUGACUUUGCGAGAACUAACGGAGCAUUAGUGUCAAGAAUGGGCUGAGAUUCGAAUUCAGUCGGUUUUUCGCUCUUUUUUGACAAAAAGGGAUCAAGAUCGGGACCGUCCAUUUGACUUCACACGGAUCACCAUAUGCUUUCUCUCUCAAUGCUCACACAUCUGACAAAAAGGGAUGCCAAAAGCAGGGAAGUACAAUCUACAGGAAAAAGCAACACUUUACUUUUGUGUGAAAGACAGCUUGCUUGUUGCAGUCUCUAUAAUAUAUCAACACUCUUCCAUACACUGUUUGAAAGACAGCACUGCUUCCUUCAGUCUCUAUAAAUAAUCCAGAGAUAUCUACACUCUACUCACACUUUACAAACUCUCAACUACACUCAACUGAAAUUAAUAUAUCAACUCUUUGCAUUCGGAUCUUGCGUUGUUUCUCGGCUCUCACAUCAAGGUUUUAAAAUUUUUGUCGGCUUUUCACAUCUCCCUCUUGCAUUGUUGUAAGUUCUUUCAAAUAUGACAUAGUGAAAGGAUAAAUUGUUUUUGUAGUUUUGAUUUUACUUUGUUCUGUUAUAUUUUGAUCUUUUCCUUCA